rnacentral:rRNA from 1 species
UACGUAGAGUGCAAGCGUUUAAUCGGAAUUACUGGGCGUAAAGCGUGCGCAGGCGGUUAUGUAAGACAGGUGUGAAAUCCCCGGGCUUAACCUGGGAACUGCAUUUGUGACUGCAUAGCUAGAGUACGGUAGAGGGGGAUGGAAUUCCGCGUGUAGCAGUGAAAUGCGUAGAUAUGCGGAGGAACACCGAUGGCGAAGGCAAUCCCCUGGACCUGUACUGACGCUCAUGCACGAA